rnacentral:misc_RNA from 1 species
ACAAACUUAUCAUCUGAUAAAUACUACUUAAGAUCAGGGGUUUUUGAAAGAAACAAAUAUGGAGUUCAUUAGUUGUUCAAUAAGAAAAAGAAGAGAGAAGAGGAGGAUGACAUUCUACAUAAAUCAAAGCCUAUGGAGUAGAACAAAUCAAAGCUUGUCAACCAUGUCAUCCUACAUAAACAAUCUGCAAGGUAAAUUGUCCACGGUGCAACCCGCACAUAACAGGCCAUCAACCAAGAAUUCCGCGUUUCUUUUACGCCUUGCCCUUCCCUUUGAUCGUCAAUGGCAAGAGGAACCACAUUAAUGUAGGGGAAUGCCACCGCCCGAAUAUUCGACCUCCUGAGCAGGAGGCAAAGAUGAGACCCAGUCAGAUGCAUGAGUUGGAAGAAGCCCCAAUGUGUUAAGCUUCCAAACACCCAGCGCCAAACCCCCCAAAUUAAGAGCAAUAAACAGCAACUUAGGCCCAAGAAG